AACGAACGCUGGCGGCAUGCCUAACACACGCAAGUCGAACGAGACCUUCGGGUCUAGUGGCGCACGGGUGCGUAACGCGUGGGAACCUGCCCUUAGGUUCGGAAUAACUCCCCGAAAGGGGUGAUAAUACCGGAUAAUGUCUUCGGACCAAAGAUUUAUCGCCUUUGGAUGGGCCCGCGUUGGAUUAGCUAGUUGGUAGGGUAAAAGCCUACCAAGGCGACGAUCCAUAGCUGGUCUGAGAGGAUGAUCAGCCACACUGGGACUGAGACACGGCCCAGACUCCUACGGGAGGCAGCAGUGGGGAAUAUUGGACAAUGGGCGAAAGCCUGAUCCAGCAAUGCCGCGUGAGUGAUGAAGGCCUUAGGGUUGUAAAGCUCUUUUACCCGGGAUGAUAAUGACAGUACCGGGAGAAUAAGCUCCGGCUAACUCCGUG
rnacentral:rRNA from 1 species